AGCGAACGCUGGCGGCAGGCCUAACACAUGCAAGUCGAGCGCCGUAGCAAUACGGAGCGGCAGACGGGAGAGUAACACGUGGGAACGUACCCUUUGGUUCGGAACAACCCAGGGAAACUUGGGCUAAUACCGGAUAAGCCCUCACGGGGAAAGAUUCAUCGCCGAAGGAUCGGCCCGCGUCUGAUUAGCUAGUUGGUGGGGUAAUGGCCCACCAAGGCGACGAUCAGUAGCUGGUCUGAGAGGAUGAUCAGCCUCACUGGGACUGAGACACGGCCCAGACUCCUACGGGAGGCAGCAGUGGGGAAUAUUGGACAAUGGGCGCAAGACUGAUCCAGCCAUGCCGCGUGGGUGAUGAAGGCCCUAGGGUUGUAAAGCCCUUUCGGCGGGGAAGAUAAUGACGGUACCCGCAGAAGAAGCCCCGGCUAACUUCGUGCCAGCCGCCGCGGUAA
rnacentral:rRNA from 1 species